GACGAACGCUGGCGGCGGGCUUAACACAUGCAAGUCGAACGGAAAGGCCCUGCUUUUGUGGUGUUCUCGAGUGGCGAACGGGUGAGUAACACGUGAAUAACCUGCCCUUGACUUUCGGAUAACUUCAGGUAACUGGGGCUAAUACCGUAUAGGAGCUCCUGUUGCAUGGUGGGGGUGGGAAAGUUUCGGCGGUUGGGGAUGGACGGGCGGCUGAUCAGCUUGUUGGUUGGGGAGUGGCUUACCAAGGCUUUGACGGGUAGGCGGCAUGAGAGGGUGACCGGGGACAAUGGGACUAAGAGAGGGCGCAGACGGCUACGGUAGGCAGCGGGGGGAAAUAUGACACAAUGGGAGGAAGUGUGAUGCAACAACGUCGCGGGCGGGAUGACGGCCUUCUGGUUGUAAACAGCUGUAGCCUGAGACGAAGCGUGAGUGACGGUAAUGGGUGAAGAAGCACCGGCUAACUACGUG
rnacentral:rRNA from 1 species